rnacentral:rRNA from 1 species
GUGAGGAAUUUUCCGCAAUGGGCGAAAGCCUGACGGAGCAAUGCCGCGUGAAGGAUGAAGGCCUAUGGGUUGUAAACUUCUUUUCUUAGAGAAGGAUAUUGACGGUAUCUGAGGAAUAAGCAUCGGCUAACUUCGUGCCAGCAGCCGCGGUAAUACGAAGGUCCCAAGCGUUGUUCGGAAUCACUGGGCGUAAAGGGAGCGUAGGCGGCGUGGUAAGUCAGAUGUGAAAUCCCGGGGCUCAACCCCGGAACUGCAUCCGAUACUGCCAUGCUUGAGGGUUGGAGAGGUAGCUGGAAUUCUCGGUGUAGCAGUGAAAUGCGUGGAUAUCGAGAGGAACACUCGUGGCGAAGGCGAGCUACUGGACAACAUCUGACGCUGAGGCUCGAAGGCCAGGGGAGCAAAAGGGAUUAGAUACCCUUGUAGUCC